ensembl:lncRNA novel transcript, sense intronic to BLCAP
UGUCCCAUUUCAUCGCCGAAUGUUGGGAGACUGGGGUCUGUCCUCGGAAAGAAACAGCCUUUCUGUUUAUAGGUUUGGAUCGUCUAUCCCUUUCAGGGAACUGGUGUGUUGGGGACGGCUUCUCUGCCCUGCCUGACAUGGUCCAGUCAUCCCGUCAGCCUUCUGGACGGCAACACCAAAGCUGGGACCAAAAAAAAGUUCCAGCUUAAGUGCUAAUGCCAAGUGUUAGAUCUUGUUUGCUUGUUUGUUUUAAAUCAGAGACUAAUUAAUGUCAAGCAAAUCUGUUAAAAGAUUUGAUCACGGGAAGCCUGGUCGGUUUCCAGUGACCAGGUCAAUUCCAUAUCUGAAAUUAGUCUUGUUAGAGUUGCUGCCAAAAACAGUUUAACCUUUAAUCUGUAAUAUGUUGUUUCAAAGAGGAA